rnacentral:rRNA from 1 species
UACAGAGGGUGCAAGCGUUAAUCGGAAUUAUUGGGCGUAAAGCGCAUGUAGGUGGAUUCUUAAGUCGGAUGUGAAAGCCCUGGGCUUAACCUAGGAAUUGCAUUCGAUACUGGGUAUCUUGAGUAUGGUAGAGGGAAGUGGAAUUUCCGGUGUAGCGGUGAAAUGCGUAGAUAUCGGAAAGAACAUCAGUGGCGAAGGCGACUUCCUGGACUAAUACUGACACUAAAGUGCGAAAGCGUGGGGAGCAAACAGG